CCCGCUUGGCAUCAUGCCAAGCCACACACCGUACUCACCCCGUCGGAGGUUUUUCGUUUGUUCGCCGCCGCGGUGUGUCUGUCGGACGGCUGCCUGUCUGAUUUCAUUUAUAUUUCGCCCGGUUUUUCGCAUUUUUCAUAAAUUUCAGA
ensembl:ncRNA Y38F2AR.16 ncRNA